rnacentral:rRNA from 1 species
GACGAACGCUGGCGGCGUGCUUAACACAUGCAAGUCGAACGGAAAGGCCCUGCUUUUGUGGGGUGCUCGAGUGGCGAACGGGUGAGUAACACGUGAGUAACCUGCCCUUGACUUUGGGAUAACUUCAGGAAACUGGGGCUAAUACCGGAUAGGCGCUCCUGCUGCAUGGUGGGGGUUGGAAAGUUUCGGCGGUUGGGGAUGGACUCGCGGCUUAUCAGCUUGUUGGUGGGGUAGUGGCUUACCAAGGCUUUGACGGGUAGCCGGCCUGAGAGGGUGACCGGCGACAUUGGGACUGAGAUACGGCCCAGACUCCUACGGGAGGCAGCAGUGGGGAAUAUUGCACAAUGGGCGGAAGCCUGAUGCAGGAACGCCGCGUGCGGGAUGACGGCCUUCGGGUUGUAAACCGCUUUCGCCUGUGACGAAGCGUGAGUGACGGUAAUGGGUAAAGAAGCACCGGCUAACUACGUG